GACGAACGCUGGCGGCGCGCUUAACACAUGCAAGUCGAACGGAAAGGCCUGCUUUCCCUUGUGGUUUGCGGGUACUCGAGUGGCGAACGGGUGAGUAACACGUGAGUGAUCUGCCCCCAACUUGGGUAUAAGCCUGGGAAACUGGGUCUAAUUCCCGAUAGGACUGCAGGGUGGUGCCUGUGGUGGAAAACGAUUUUCUAGUGGUUGGGGAUGAGCUCGCGGCCUAUCAGCUUGUUGGUGGGGUAAUGGCCUACCAAGGCGGCGACGGGUAGCCGGCCUGAGAGGGUGGACGGCCACAUUGGGACUGAGAUACGGCCCAGACGCCUACGGGAGGCAGCAGUGGGGAAUAUUGCACAAUGGGCGGAAGCCUGAUGCAGCGACGCCGCGUGGAGGAUGACGGGAUUCGGGUUGUAAGCUCCUUUCGACCGAGAGGAAGCCACCUGGUUGGAAGGGUGGUGACGGUAGUGGUAGAAGAAGCACCGGCUAACUACGUG
rnacentral:rRNA from 1 species